AUGCCCAAAGCCAAGCCAGCGCCGGGGCCGCGUCGUGCUCCGGCGUCGCUCUCCAAAUGGUCCCGGCUGAACGCGUCCGUGUUGUUAGAAAGCGGCUUGCCGCCCCGUCACGAGGAGCUUCCUUGUCCCCCGAGCGUGCCGCCGUGGCCGCUCACUGCCUUCACGAGCGGAGGAGGAGGAGGAGGAGGAGGAGGAGGAAGUUUCGCCGGGCAGCUCAGCUCCGUGGCCACAUCCUGCGCCCGCGCAUCGCCUGCCGCAGCCGCUCCGCAGCAGCCCGGCCCUUGGGCAGACCCUGCUCUCCCUCGCUCCCCGUCUGCUCCGGGUAGCAGUUUGACGCCUGGGGAAGACAGGAGCGUCGGGUUGGAAAUCGUGGAAGGAGGAUGGCGAAGCAAAGCUGGCUCGCGGCGGCGGAGAGCAGCGGGGAAUGGGGCGAGGAUCGGAAAGCCAACGCGCCCAGCCGCGGAGUUAGGCUGGCUGCUAACGUGGCCCCAAAGACACCCUACGAGGCGACGCGCGGGGGCUGAUAACCGCACGUCGAGCCGUGGGAAGCACCUGGGCUGCCUCAAAGCAACCGCUGCCGAAGCAACGCUGCCGUUAAAGUCGGGAGCAGCCAAACGCGCGUGCGCCGCGGUGCGGAGCCAACACACCGGGCACGCCAAGCCCGGGGCCCCGACGCCUGGGGUCGGCCAAGCUGCGCCCACCCUCCGGAGCCUCUCCGGGCGGGAAUGCCAGCUGCAGCACCAGGAUGGCUCCGUCCCCCGCCGGCCGCAUGCCGCCUCGGGGCCGGGCGUCGCGGCGGGCUCCGCCUGGGGCCGCGCUCGCCCCGCUCGGGUUUCCCAGCCGCCUGAAAAGGGGUCGGUCCGCUUUCAGCUCCGACCGUUACCAAAAGCUNGGCCGCAUGCCGCCUCGGGGCCGGGCGUCGCGGCGGGCUCCUCCUGGGGCCGCGCUCGCCCCGCUCGGGUUUCCCRGCCGCCUGAAAAGGGGUCGGUCCGCUUUCAGCUCCGACCGUUACCAAAAGCUCGGCGCAGAGCAGAAAUCCCCGCGGCGGGGGCAGCUGGCGUUUCCCCUCCGAACCGAACGGCCCCGCUCGCCCAGAUGCGACGUAACGUUCGGUUGACUGCUGUUUCCUGA
rnacentral:lncRNA from 1 species